rnacentral:rRNA from 1 species
GACAGGGGGUGCAAACGUUGUUCGGAUUUACUGGGCGUAAAGCGCGUGUAGGCGGCUUUGCAAGUCGGAUGUGAAAGCCCACGGCUCAACCGUGGAAGUGCAUCCGAAACUGCAUGGCUUGAGUCUCGGAGAGGAAGGUGGAAUGCUUGGUGUAGAGGUGAAAUUCGUAGAUAUCAAGCAGAACACCUGCGGCGAAGGCGGCCUUCUGGACGAUGACUGACGCUGAGACGCGGAAGCGUGGGGAGCAAACAGG